rnacentral:lncRNA from 1 species
AUCUUGGUAAGGUGUACAUGGGUAACGGAAUAAUGACUUAGACGAAAGGCAGUGUGGGUACAAGAGAUGCACUUCACCACAGAAGACAGCCUACGGGUGGAAGAUGGCCCUGUGCCUGCUUAGCCUUAAGUGCAGCUUCACUUGGUCAUCGUAAGAGUGUCUCAGCCGAGGAGUUUCCUGGUCAGAUUGGCUUGUGGAGGAUUGACUUGAGGACUGCUUCUUCAUGCUGGAGGAUCCUGCUUACUGUGGGGAGCACCAUUUCCUGGGCAGGCGGUCUUUGGCUGUUUAAACAGCUAGAUAAAGGGGAGGAUGGCUCACUAGCCUCCUCCGAGGAUGCUUGCUGUACUCACAGGGACCUACACUCAUUUC